GUGUCCAGUGUGAGGUGCAGCUGGUGGAGUCUGGGGGAGGCCUGGUGCAAUCUGGUGCACCUGACCCUGCAGCUCUGCACAGGAGCCCAACCCUGAGACUCUCCUGUGCAGCCUCUGGAUUCACCUUCAGUGAUUACUACAUGCACUGGGUCCACCAGGCUCCAGGGAAGGGGCUGGAGUGGGUCUCAUACAUUAGUGGUGGUAGCAGUGACAUAAACUAUGCCAACUCCGUGAAGGGCCAAUUCACCAUCUCCAGAGACAACUCCAAGAACACACUGUACCUGCAAAUGAGCAGUCUGAGAGUCGAGGACACUGCCACCUAUUACUGUGCCAGAGACAAA